GACGAACGCUGGCGGCGUGCUUAACACAUGCAAGUCGAACGGAAAGGCCCUGCUUUUGUGGGGUGCUCGAGUGGCGAACGGGUGAGUAACACGUGAGUAACCUUCCCUUGACUUUGGGAUAACUUCAGGAAACUGGGGCUAAUACCGGAUCGGAGCUCCUGCUGCAUGGUGGGGGUUGGAAAGUUUCGGCGGUUGGGGAUGGACUCGCGGCUUAUCAGCUUGUUGGUGGGGUAGUGGCUUACCAAGGCUUUGACGGGUAGCCGGCCUGAGAGGGUGACCGGCGACAUGGGGACUGAGAGACGGCGCAGACGCCUACGGGAGGCAGCAGUGGGGAAUAUUGCACAAUGGGCGGAAGCCUGAUGCAGCAACGCCGCGUGCGGGAUGAAGGCCUUCGGGGUGUAAACCGCUUGCGCCUGUGACGAAGCGUGAGUGACGGUAAUGGGUAAAGAAGCACCGGCUAACUACGUG
rnacentral:rRNA from 1 species